CAAGUCGAGCGGGGUUUUCGGACCUAGCGGCGGACGGGUGAGUAAUGCGUAGGAAGCUACCCGAUAGAGGGGGAUACCAGUUGGAAACGACUGUUAAUACCGCAUAAUGUCUACGGACCAAAGUGUGGGACCUUCGGGCCACAUGCUAUCGGAUGCGCCUACGUGGGAUUAGCUAGUUGGUGGGGUAAUGGCUCACCAAGGCGACGAUCCCUAGCUGGUUUGAGAGGAUGAUCAGCCACACUGGAACUGAGACACGGUCCAGACUCCUACGGGAGGCAGCAGUGGGGAAUAUUGGACAAUGGGCGCAAGCCUGAUCCAGCCAUGCCGCGUGUGUGAAGAAGGCCUUCGGGUUGUAAAGCACUUUCAGUAGGGAGGAAGAGUUGAGUGUUAAUAGUACUCAACUUUGACGUUACCUACAGAAGAAGCACCGGCUAACUCUGUGCCAGCAGCCGCGGUAAUACAGAGGGUGCAAGCGUUAAUCGGAAUUACUGGGCGUAAAGCGCACGUAGGCGGUUUUUUAAGUCAGAUGUGAAAGCCCCGGGCUCAACCUGGGAAUUGCAUUUGAAACUGGAAAACUAGAGUGUGUGAGAGGGGGGUAGAAUUCCAGU
rnacentral:rRNA from 1 species